CUGCACUUCAGGUGUGCUGGGUUUGGCCUUUCCUUGAGGUUUGGCCUUUCCUGCACUUCAGGUGUGCUGGGUUUGGCCCUGAGUUCAGUUUUUCUACAGUGCAUCUGCUUGGGAUGUAUUUCUCUGGCAAGAAACAGACAAUUACGACUCUGGGCUUACCACUGACAGCAAAUACAGGUGCCAGCUCUGGAAAUGCUCCUGGAAUGCUGAAGACAAAAAGCCAUGAAGGAUGGUUUGGUUCAAACUGCUGCCCUGAGGAAUUCCCCUUCACUUGCUGUUCCAUCACAGAUGAAGUCUCCAAAGUGACCUUUUCAAGCAGCUGGAUGGCAGCGGGGAGGUGCCACAGCCAGAUCUUCGGGAGGGAUGGUCAGAUAUGAUUUCCAUUCCCAGGCGUGUCAAAAGGGAUUUUCAUCCUCAUCAAAGGACAAAAUGCUGGAAGUUGAAAAUAAUGCUGGGCAAAAAAAAAGAAAGGAAGUUGUUCAGAACUCCCAUCAAAAAAAUCCUCUGGAAAUGUUUCGGGUUCUUCAUAUUGAUAAAUCUUGUUGUAAUAAAAUAUGGAUCAGAGUUGAAAUGGGAGGGUUUGAAUUUCUGUAGCUUUCAGGUUGAAAAAAUGGCAUUAACAUGAUCUGAGUAAUUCAGUAGCAAAAAUCUUCCCUUAAAAAUUGUUCCAACUGUUCCAAAAAGAAACCCAAAAUACCCACCAGCUCCACAGAAACCAGCC